rnacentral:rRNA from 1 species
GGGGAAUCUUGCGCAAUGCGCGAAAGCGUGACGCAGCAACGCCGCGUGGGGGAAGAAGGCCUUCGGGUUGUAAACCCCUUUCAGUUGGGACGAAGGUCCGCCCGUUAACAGCGGGCUGGACUGACGGUACCUUCAGAAGAAGCCCCGGCUAACUACGUUCCAGCAGCCGCGGUAAUACGGAGGGGGCAAGCGUUGUCCGGAAUCAUUGGGCGUAAAGAGCGUGUAGGCGGCUUGGUAAGUCCGCUGUGAAAGUCCAGGGCUCAACCCUGGAAAGCCAGUGGAAACUGUCAAGCUAGAGUCCGGAAGAGGCGAGUGGAACUCCUGGUGUAGCGGUGAAAUGCGCAGAUAUCAGGAAGAACACCAAUGGCGAAGGCAGCUCGCUGGGACGGUACUGACGCUGAGACGCGAAAGCGUGGGGAGCAAAC